CAUGUCUUUUUGAUAAUAAUUUAAAGUCUGACCUGCCCUAUGAUAUAAAAUAUAUUAAAUGGCCGCGAUAAUUUGAUCGUGCAAAGGUAGCAUAAUCAUUAGUUUUUUAAUUGAGAACUGGAAUGAAAGGUUGAACGAGAAAAAAACUGUCUCAAUUUAAUUUAAAUUAAAAUUUUAUUUUUAAGUAAAAAAGCUUAAAUAUUUUUAAAAGACGAGAAGACCCUAUAGAGUUUUAUAUUUAAUAAAUUAUUUUUUAGUUUUAGUAUUUAAUUUUGGGAUUAUUUAUUAAGUAUUUGAUUGGGGUGAUUGAAAAAUUUAAUUAACUUUUUUUAUAUUUUAACAUUUAUAUAUGAUUAAUUGAUCCAUAAUUUAUGAUUAAAAGAUUAAAUUACCUUAGGGAUAACAGCGUAAUUUUUUUUGAGAGUUCAUAUCGAAAAAAAAGUUUCGGA
rnacentral:rRNA from 1 species